UACAGAGGGGGCAAGCGUUGUUCGGAAUUACUGGGCGUAAAGGGCGCGUAGGCGGCCUGCUAAGUCGAACGUGAAAUCCCUGGGCUCAACCCAGGAACUGCGUCUGAUACUGCCGGGCUAGAGUCCGGAAGAGGCGAGUGGAACUCCUGGUGUAGCGGUGGAAUGCGCAGAUAUCAGGAAGAACACCAACGGCGAAGGCAGCUCGCUGGGACGGUACUGACGCUGAGACGCGAAAGCGUGGGGAGCAAACAGG
rnacentral:rRNA from 1 species